GCCAAAAGAUAAAAACAAGCAAGAAAGCAAACAAAUAAAAGUAACAACAAAAUUUAAGAACCCCUUGCAUGGAAGGAUGCUUAUUUCCUCUGGACUGAAAGAUGGCAUCAGAAGUGGGAUCUAAAGUAAAGCUUCUAACAAUCCCCAUGAGCACUGAGUGACCAAGCAAGGUACACGCCAGGCCUGUUCUGUCUGUUGCUCUCACAGAGGAGCUGGGGAUCGUGGAGGUUCAUGACAGGAUGAAAAGAAACCUGAGAAGCACUCUUGAAGAGAGGUUUCUGAAUAACUUUCGAAUCAUAUCAUUUGGACUGGAUAACAGUGUUGAGGCAGAGAAGUUUCAUAAUCUGCCUAAGAUCAUUGCAUUUACAAGUGACGAACCCACUGCACAAAUUUUGGCAAUGACAGAAACUUCAUCUGCAUUGGCUUCGGCAAAGCAGAAAUUUAUUAGCUUACAAGGCUGUACAGGAAACAUGGCUGGGGAGGUCUCAGGAAACUUACAAUCAUGGUGGAAAGUGAAGAGG
rnacentral:lncRNA from 10 species